GUGGCUGUGGCGUAGGCCAGUGAUAAAAUAAUGCUCCAGGUAUAAGCCAUUGAAUUUUGGAUGGUUUGUUACGCAGCAUUAGUGUGGCAAUAGCUGACAAGUACAAAAAUAGCUAUUCUGAGUUAUCAAACUAUAAUAGAGCACAUUGCUUAAUUCAUAAAAUAUACACACAGAAUAAAGAAAAUGGAGAACUAAACUUAUCAUCAGAUAAGCCUGGCCAAAAUAGUCAAGUAAUUGAAGUAAAUAUAACAUUAUGAGUGGAUUAUACAAUUCACAUUCUAUAUGGACAUUAUAUGAUAAACAUUUUUUGGGGUCUGUGUGGCACGGAAAAUGGUUAUAAUUGCUCUGAUUCACCCACUUGGAAAGGGAAACAUGGCACAACUGCUCUGUGC
rnacentral:lncRNA from 1 species